rnacentral:rRNA from 1 species
UACGUAGGGUGCGAGCGUUAAUCGGAUUUACUGGGCGUAAAGCGUGCGCAGGCGGCCCGUUAAGACAGGUGUGAAAUCCCUGGGCUCAACCUAGGAAUUGCGCUUGUGACUGGCGGGCUCGAGUAUGGUAGAGGGGGGUGGAAUUCCUGGUGUAGCAGUGAAAUGCGUAGAGAUCAGGAGGAACACCGAUGGCGAAGGCAGCCCCCUGGGCCUGUACUGACGCUCAUGCACGAAAGCGUGGGGAGCAAACAGG